UACGAAGGGGGCUAGCGUUGCUCGGAAUCACUGGGCGUAAAGCGCACGUAGGCGGCUCUUUAAGUCCGAGGUGAAAUCCUGGGGCUCAACCCCAGAACUGCCUUUGAUACUGAGGAGCUUGAGUCCGGGAGAGGUGAGUGGAACUGCGAGUGUAGAGGUGAAAUUCGUAGAUAUUCGCAAGAACACCAGUGGCGAAGGCGGCUCACUGGCCCGGUACUGACGCUGAGGUGCGAAAGCGUGGGGAGCAAACAGG
rnacentral:rRNA from 1 species